AUUUUGAUCAUCAUUCAUCAUCGUCAUAUAGAGGUAGACCCUUUUCUUCAAUGUGUGUGUGUGUGUGUGUUUUUGUCGCUAUUUUUUGCUGGGUUUUACUUCAAUUACUCAAAGUUUGAGUCUUGAUUAUCAACUCUCUGUGUGUGUGUGUGUUGUUUUCCUUAAUUUGGAUUCCCAUUGUUCUAGUUUUCUGGUAUGUGUGAAAUUGGAUAGCGAUGAUUAUUAAUGCUGACAAAGAAAGUAUUUUUUUAUUUAGUUUUUUAUUUUCAAAAAAUAAAUUUGUUUCUUGAAUUUGCAUAUACUUGUAUAUGUAAGCUGGAAAUUUACUCCAAUUUCUUUUUUGUUGUUGUUGUUUCAAAAUUGCUUUAUGCCGUUGAUAUUGAGAGCUACUGAAAGUGGACUAUUUUGCUGAUUUUUGGGAACAUAUUAUAUUAAAUGAUGAGUGAUUUCAAUUGGGGGUUAGGCUUUGGUAUUUUCUAGAGCAGCAAUAGUUCAAGAUAACUUCAUAAUUUUGAUUAAUAGCAACUUUUUUUUCUUGAUUUCCCCUCCUUUUCCUGUAUAAUUCAGCCCCUGCAUAAGGCCUAAUCCCUGCAAAUUGUAGCAGUUUUCGUAUAGGUCGUGUCUCCAAAUCUCGAACGCCAAAAUGUAGUUCGUAUUAGGAUUCGAAAGGCUCGUUUCUUGAUCUCUAGAUAGUAACUGAUUGUUGGCUGAGUAUGUUUAAAUGCUCCUUUUGUGUUGAUGUUGUGUAUACAUCUAAGCACCCCUCGUUUCAUGCUAACUCAUGCAGUUUUGGUCGAUGCUAGCAUCUUAUGGCGCAUGCCGCUUUGGUGUCCUUUAGAGAUUUAGAUGAUUUUAUAUCUUAAAGUCGUCGUAUUUUAUUUUGCUCAUGUAGAUUAAAGCUAGCUUGGAUGGUUGAUUUGUUGGACGAUUGAUGGUGAAUGAAGGCAUAAUUAGUUGGAGAUUGUAUUAAAGGUUGUUUUUAGUAUAUAAAUGAAGGCGUAAU
rnacentral:lncRNA from 1 species